GGAGGGCCCCGAAGCAGCAGGUACUGCUAAUACUUGCACUCCACGGUUAAACCCCGUGGCUUCCUCG
rnacentral:tRNA from 1 species